GUUCACAAUUUAUAAACCAGUGAGAACUGAGCAGCAUCAGAAAGGCAGGGCGAACAAGAUGGAGUUACCGUCCCAGGUCCUAAUAUUGAUGUUGCUAUGGGUGUCUGGUACCUCUGGGGACAUUGUGAUGACUCAGUCUCCACCCUCCCUGGCUGUGUCAGCAGGAGAGAAGGUCACUAUGGGCUGCAAGUCCAGCCAGAGUCUUUUUUAUAGUGAAUAUCAAAAGAACUACUUGUCAUGGUACCAGCAGAAACCAGGGCAAUCUCCUAAACUGCUGAUCUACUGGGCAUCCACUAGAGAAUCUGGAGUCCCUGAUCGUUUCACAGGCAGUGGAUCUGGGACAGAUUUCACUCUGACCAUCAGCAAUGUGCAGGCUGAUGACCUAGCCGUUUAUUACUGUCAGCAGAUUUAUGAUACUCCUCCCACAGUGCUUCAGCUUCCUACACAAACCUCCUUGAGACACUCACCAGCUGCCUGCACCACACAUAGCCCUGAGUCUGCAUACUUCCUCCUUCUAAAUGAGAGCCAGUGUGCCUAA